UACGAAGGGGGCUAGCGUUGCUCGGAAUCACUGGGCGUAAAGCGCACGUAGGCGGAUCUUUAAGUCAGGGGUGAAAUCCUGGAGCUCAACUCCAGAACUGCCUUUGAUACUGGGGAUCUCGAGUCCGGGAGAGGUGAGUGGAACUCCGAGUGUAGAGGUGAAAUUCGUAGAUAUUCGGAAGAACACCAGUGGCGAAGGCGGCUCACUGGCCCGGUACUGACGCUGAGGUGCGAAAGCAUGGGGAGCAAACAGG
rnacentral:rRNA from 1 species